UACGGGGGGGGCAAGCGUUGUUCGGAAUUACUGGGCGUAAAGGGCUCGUAGGUGGCCACCUAAGUCUGUCGUGAAAUCUCCCGGCUUAACUGGGAGGGUGCGGCGGAAACUGGAGUGCUCGAGGAUGGGAGAGGUAAGCGGAAUUCCUGGUGUAGCGGUGAAAUGCGUAGAUAUCAGGAGGAACACCGGUGGCGAAGGCGGCUUGCUGGGCCUUACCUGACGCUGAGGAGCGAAAGCGUGGGGAGCGAACAGG
rnacentral:rRNA from 1 species